rnacentral:rRNA from 1 species
CCUACGGGUGGCAGCAGUGGGGAAUAUUGGACAAUGGGGGCAACCCUGAUCCAGCCAUGCCGCGUGUGUGAAGAAGGCCCUCGGGUUGUAAAGCACUUUCAGUGAGGAAGAACGCCUGGUGGUUAAUACCCAUCAGGAAAGACAUCACUCACAGAAGAAGCACCGGCUAACUCCGUGCCAGCAGCCGCGGUAAUACGGAGGGUGCGAGCGUUAAUCGGAAUUACUGGGCGUAAAGCGCGCGUAGGUGGCUUGAUAAGCCGGUUGUGAAAGCCCCGGGCUCAACCUGGGAACGGCAUCCGGAACUGUCAAGCUAGAGUGCAGGAGAGGAAGGUAGAAUUCCCGGUGUAGCGGUGGAAUGCGUAGAGAUCGGGAGGAAUACCAGUGGCGAAGGCGGCCUUCUGGACUGACACUGACACUGAGGUGCGAAAGCGUGGGUAGCAAACAGGAUUAGAUACCCCGGUAGUC